rnacentral:hammerhead_ribozyme from 1 species
AUCCAGCCGACGAGUCCCAAAUAGGACGAAACGCGCGUCCAGGAU